UCCGUCCCUCGUGUCCAACUAGCCCACCCCGCCCUCCUCAUCCAAUUUCAUUCCCUCCCCUAAAAAAAUCCAAUUUCGUCCCCACCGUUUGGCCCCGAUCUCCACCGCGCUCUAGGGUUCCGGCCGCCGCUGGCGAGGGCCUGCCAUUUGAGGCGCUCCUUCGUUCUCCACCGCGCUCAAUAGGCUCCCGGCCGCCGCCGGCGAGGGCCUGCCAUUUGAGGCGCUCGAGGAGGAUUCGCCAUCCCUCGACGCCGCUGCUCCUCUGGACCCCGUCGUGCUUCGGGACAGGCCUGCGCUCACCCCUACCGGCCGCCGCCGGCGAGGGCCUGCCAUUUGAGGCGCUCGAGGAGGACUCGCCGUCCCCCGACGCCGUUGCUCCCCUGGACCCCGUCGCGCUCCGAGACAGGCCGGCGCUCACCCCCGACUUCUCUCGCCUCGUCUUCUCCAUGGAGCUCCCCUGCCGACGGCCCACGCCGGAGCUUUGGGCCGACCUCCCCUCCGGCAGCACGCGCCGCCCGAACCCAGUUGGCCGCGUCGGCAAUUUCAAUAUUGCGCUCUCACAGUCCGGCUCUGCUCGUGCCAAGCUCUAGUUUUUCGUACUCCAGCUCUUGGAUGUGCUAUCCUCCCUUCUCACUCUCGGGCUCCAGCAGCAAAUGGAUGAAAAGCAUCACGAAGCAGCUCAGCUCCAUCUUCUAUAGUUAUUUCUUGAAUCUGUGAUAUACUAUAUAAUGCAUUCUGUAGAAAACAGAAUGAUGUUCAUUGGAGCCUCUCUCUUGCUAUGUUUCUUCCAUUUGUUUCUGCUCUAAGAAAACUCCAUACUUGGAAAAUGUCUCUUCAUGACUUCUUCGAAGUUUUUUCUGUAGUUUUCAGUCUUGGGUGCGUGCAGUUUCUUCAUGUCACAUCUGAAAUUUGGGGCCAUGUAUGUACAUUGUAAUUAGCAGGGCCUUCCCUGUUUGUGAUACUAAAUGAGGUACCUCUAUAUGUAGGUUUGCACCGUGUCAUUUUUUCCUGUCAUUAAUUGAUCUUCAUACCAAGAAAAUCCUGUUGGAGGGAUAUCGUGCA